AUCCAGAGCUGACUGUGCUCCUUUUUUUUUUUUGUGGGGGCCUAGUGUGCAAUGGCUGCAAACAGCAGCCUCCUUGGUAGUGUGCACAGCCUGUUGCAUGUAUGGGUUUCCAAUGGAUGUUCAUGUCUCUG